GCGGGGAAGAGGCCGCCCUUUCGGCUGGGCGCCCGGCCGGGUCCUCCUUCCCGCGCCAUGUUGCAGCGAAGUUUCUUGAAGGCGGCGGCGGCCGGUUCCUCUUCGCUUCUUCUCCCCCGUCGCUGAACGAGGGAAAGGUGCGGCGUGAGGACAUGGCUGCGGACCGGCAGGACCCCCCCCCCUCCGCUGUGCAGGAGGAGGAGGAAGGUGUGAGUGGAGCCUGGCAGAAGACAAAGGGUGACGUGAAAAAAGAUUCUGUGCCUUGAAAAAUGAAGGAGAAAGCCAUGUGACACGGCGGAUCGAGGAGGUCUUCUCAAAGACCUGAGUUACUUUUGAGAACAGGACUGAUUUCUGGAACUUGCUUCAAAUACUGAAGAUCGUGCCUUGAGUUUUAGAAUUUCUAGCAAACGUGGCUACAGCAAAAUAAAUGGUUGGCAGUGUCUGCAUUUGAAGAUUCCUGAAACUUCAUCUUUUCUCACACAUGGGUUUCAAGCACACUACAGCCAAAGUGCAUGCGAUGCAGCUUGUGGUUCUGAAUGUUUGCUGUAACCUGGGUACUCAACUGUCUGUCUAAAAAAAAUUACAGCUGUUCUGUUCGAAGUGUCCCUUCUGCUUUUGCUGUACUCCUGUUGCAUAGCCGUAGGAGUUGCAAUCUUGCCCUUCUCCCAGUCAUCUCGGCUCAUAUUCUAAAAGCACUGUUGUUUCAAUCUGUGUUUUCCCUACAUGGUUAAGAAGGAUUUAAAAAA